rnacentral:rRNA from 1 species
AGCUAACGCGUUAAGUCGACCGCCUGGGGAGUACGGCCGCAAGGUUAAAACUCAAAUGAAUUGACGGGGGCCCGCACAAGCGGUGGAGCAUGUGGUUUAAUUCGAUGCAACGCGAAGAACCUUACCUGGUCUUGACAUCCACAGAACUUUCCAGAGAUGGAUUGGUGCCUUCGGGAACUGUGAGACAGGUGCUGCAUGGCUGUCGUCAGCUCGUGUUGUGAAAUGUUGGGUUAAGUCCCGCAACGAGCGCAACCCUUAUCCUUUGUUGCCAGCGGUCCGGCCGGGAACUCAAAGGAGACUGCCAGUGAUAAACUGGAGGAAGGUGGGGAUGACGUCAAGUCAUCAUGGCCCUUACGACCAGGGCUACACACGUGCUACAAUGGCGCAUACAAAGAGAAGCGACCUCGCGAGAGCAAGCGGACCUCAUAAAGUGCGUCGUAGUCCGGAUUGGAGUCUGCAACUCGACUCCAUGAAGUCGGAAUCGCUAGUAAUCGUGGAUCAGAAUGCCACGGUGAAUACGUUCCCGGGCCUUGUACACACCGCCCGUCACACCAUGGGAGUGGGUUGCAAAAGAAGUAGGUAGCUUAACCUUCGGGAGGGCGCUUACCACUUUGUGAUUCAUGACUGGGGUGAAGUCGUAACAAGGUAACCGUAGGGGAACCUGCGGUUGGAUCACCUCCUU